UACGAGAGGCCCAAACGUUAUUCGGAAUUAUUGGGCGUAAAGAGCUCGUAGGCGGUUCGUCGCGUCGGCUGUGAAAACCCGGAGCUCAACUCCGGGCCUGCAGUCGAUACGGGCGGACUUGAGUGUUGCAGGGGAGACUGGAAUUCCUGGUGUAGCGGUGAAAUGCGCAGAUAUCAGGAGGAACACCGGUGGCGAAGGCGGCCUGCUGGGACGUGGCUGACGCUGAGGCGCGACAGCGUGGGGAGCAAACAGG
rnacentral:rRNA from 1 species